GACGAACGCUGGCGGCGUGCUUAACACAUGCAAGUCGAACGCUGAAGCACCAGCUUGCUGGUGUGGAUGAGUGGCGAACGGGUGAGUAAUACGUGAGUAACCUGCCCUUGACUCUGGGAUAAGCCCGGGAAACUGGGUCUAAUACUGGAUGCUACAUGUCACCGCAUGGUGGUGUGUGGAAAGGGUUUACUGGUCUUGGAUGGGCUCACGGCCUAUCAGCUUGUUGGUGAGGUAAUGGCUCACCAAGGCGACGACGGGUAGCCGGCCUGAGAGGGUGACCGGCCACCCUGGGACUGAGACACGGCCCAGACUCCUACGGGAGGCAGCAGUGGGGAAUAUUGCACAAUGGGCGAAAGCCUGAUGCAGCGGCGCCGCGUGAGGGAUGACGGCCUUCGGGUUGUAAACCUCUUUCAGCAGGGAAGAAGCCACAAGUGACGGUACCUGCAGAAGAAGCGCCGGCUAACUACGUG
rnacentral:rRNA from 1 species